UAGGGAAUCUUCCGCAAUGGACGAAAGUCUGACGGAGCAACGCCGCGUGAGCGAUGAAGGCCUUCGGGUCGUAAAGCUCUGUUGUUAGGGAAGAACAAGUACCGGAGUAACUGCCGGUACCUUGACGGUACCUAACCAGAAAGCCACGGCUAACUACGUGCCAGCAGCCGCGGUAAUACGUAGGUGGCAAGCGUUGUCCGGAAUUAUUGGGCGUAAAGCGCGCGCAGGCGGUCCUUUAAGUCUGAUGUGAAAGCCCACGGCUCAACCGUGGAGGGUCAUUGGAAACUGGGGGACUUGAGUACAGAAGAGGAAAGCGGAAUUCCACGUGUAGCGGUGAAAUGCGUAGAGAUGUGGAGGAACACCAGUGGCGAAGGCGGCUUUCUGGUCUGUAACUGACGCUGAGGCGCGAAAGCGUGGGGAGCAAACAGGAUUAGAUACCCUGGUAGUCCACGCCGUAAACGAUGAGUGCUAAGUGUUAGAGGGUUUCCGCCCUUUAGUGCUGCAGCUAACGCU
rnacentral:rRNA from 1 species